rnacentral:lncRNA from 1 species
GUGCGAGGUGCUGGAUAUGCAAGCUGGAGAGGUGUGACCGCAGAGAAUUCUAAUAUGUGUAGCAGUAGGGUUAGCCCAAUCACAAGGAAACCAAAGCCUAUAAGUUAGAUUUUCAAAAUUUAGCCCAGAAGAAAUGCCCCCAAAAUUCAUUUUUUCCCCUUCUAUUAUAUGGAUAAUGCUCAUGUUUAGAAGAAAUGCGCAAAAAUACCUCAGCGAUAGUUAAUAGUCGUUUAUUGUCGAAUAAUAGUUAACUACUUUUAUCACUUUUGAAAUUGAUUUAACUGAUUUAAAAAGUGAUUAAACUAACUUAAAAAACAAUGCAAACAUUAGUUAAUCAUCGUUGAAGGUAUUUUUGGUAAUUUGAAAUGUUUGUGA